GAACGCUGGCGGCGUGCUUAACACAUGCAAGUCGAACGAAACACCUUAUUUGAUUUUCUUCGGAACUGAAGAUUUGGUGAUUGAGUGGCGGACGGGUGAGUAACGCGUAGGCAACCUGCCUUAUGCAGAGGGAUAGCCAUUGGAAACGAUGAUUAAAACCUCAUAAAGCCAUUUUAUCACAUGGUGAGAUGGUCAAAGAUUUAUCGGCAUAAGAUGGGCCUGCGUCUGAUUAGCUAGUUGGUGGGGUAACGGCCUACCAAGGCGACGAUCAGUAGCCGACCUGAGAGGGUGAUCGGCCACAUUGGAACUGAGACACGGUCCAAACUCCUACGGGAGGCAGCAGUGGGGAAUAUUGCACAAUGGGCGAAAGCCUGAUGCAGCAACGCCGCGUGAAGGAAGAAGGUCUUCGGAUCGUAAACUUCUGUCCUUGGGGAAGAUAAUGACGGUACCCUUGGAGGAAGCCCCGGCUAACUACGUGCCAGCAGCCGCGGUAAUACGUAGGGGGCAAGCGUUAUCCGGAAUUAUUGGGCGUAAAGAGUGCGUAGGUGGUUACCUAAGCAGGGGGUGAAAGGCACUGGCUUAACCAAUGUCAGCCCCCUGAACUGGGUACCUUGAGUGCAGGAGAGGAAAGCGGAAUUCCUAGUGUAGCGGUGAAAUGCGUAGAUAUUAGGAGGAACACCAGUGGCGAAGGCGGCUUACUGGACUGUAACUGACGUUGAGGCUGGAAAGCGUGGGGAGCAAACAGGAUUAGAUACCCUGGUAGUCCACGCGGUAAACGAUGAUUGCUAGGUGUAGGUGGGUAUGGACCCAUCGGUGCCGCAGCUAACGCAAUAAGCAAUCCACCUGGGGAGGUACGUUCGCAAGAAUGAAACUCAAAGGAAUUGACGGGGACCCGCACAAGCGGUGGAGCAUGUGGUUUAAUUCGAAGCAACGCGAAGAACCUUACCAAGUCUUGACAUCCCAAUGACGCACCUGUAAAGAGGUGUUCCCUUCGGGGCAUUGGAGACAGGUGGUGCAUGGUUGUCGUCAGCUCGUGUCGUGAGAUGUUGGGUUAAGUCCCGCAACGAGCGCAACCCUUAUUCUUAGUAGCCAGCAGGUAAAGCUGGGCACUCUAAGGAGACUGCCGGGGAUAACCCGGAGGAAGGCGGGGAUGACGUCAAAUCAUCAUGCCCCUUAUGAUUUGGGCUACACACGUGCUACAAUGGCGUAAACAAAGGGAAGCGAGACAGUGAUGUGGAGCAAAUCCCAGAAAUAACGUCUCAGUUCGGAUUGUAGUCUGCAACUCGACUACAUGAAGCUGGAAUCGCUAGUAAUCGCGAAUCAGCAUGUCGCGGUGAAUACGUUCCCGGGUCUUGUACACACCGCCCGUCACACCAUGGGAGUUGGAAAUGCCCGAAGUCUGUGACCUAACCGAAAGGGAGGAGCAGCCGAAGGCAGGUCUGAUAACUGGGGUG
rnacentral:rRNA from 1 species